rnacentral:rRNA from 1 species
AUUGAACGCUGGCGGCAUGCCUUACACAUGCAAGUCGAACGGGGGUAGCAAUACCCUAGUGGCGAACGGGUGAGUAAAGCAUCGGAACGUACCCAGUCGUGGGGGAUAACGUAGCGAAAGUUACGCUAAUACCGCAUACGUCCUGAGGGAGAAAGCGGGGGAUCGCAAGACCCCGCGCGAUUGGAGCGGCCGAUGUCGGAUUAGCUAGUUGGUAGGGUAAAAGCCUACCAAGGCGACGAUCCGUAGCUGGUCUGAGAGGACGACCAGCCACACUGGGACUGAGACACGGCCCAGACUCCUACGGGAGGCAGCAGUGGGGAAUUUUGGACAAUGGGGGAAACCCUGAUCCAGCCAUGCCGCGUGAGUGAAGAAGGCCUUCGGGUUGUAAAGCUCUUUCAGACGGAAAGAAAUUGCGCAGGUAAAUAAUCUGUGUAGAUGACGGUACCGUAAGAAGAAGCACCGGCUAACUACGUGCCAGCCGCCGCGGUAACAC